ACGGGAGGCAGCAGUGAUGAAUAUUGGACAAUGGUGGCAACCCUGAUCCAGCCAAACCGCGUGAGGGAUGAAGGUCCUACGGAUCGUAAACCUCUUUUAUGUGGGAAUAAUUGCUGGUAUGCAUACCAGCUUGAAGGUACCACUUGAAUAAGCAUCGGCUAACUCCUUGCCAGCAGCCGCGGUAAUACGGAGGAUGCAGGCGUUAUCCUGAUUUAUUAGGUUUAAAGGGUGCGCAGGCGGGACAUUAAGUCGGUGGUGAAAUACCGUGGCCCAACCACGGGGCUGCCAUCGAUACUGAUGACCUUGAGUGAGUGUGACGUAGGCGGAAUGUGGAGUGUAGCGGGGAAAUGCUUAGAUAUGCCACAGAACACCGAUUGCGAAGGCAGCCUACGAAUGCGUAACUGACGCUCAUGCACGAAAGCGCGGGUAGCGAACAGGAUUAGAUAAAAGGGUA
rnacentral:rRNA from 1 species